rnacentral:rRNA from 1 species
GAUGAACGCUGGCGGCGUGCCUAAUACAUGCAAGUCGAGCGAACGGACGAGAAGCUUGCUUCUCUGAUGUUAGCGGCGGACGGGUGAGUAACACGUGGAUAACCUACCUAUAAGACUGGGAUAACUUCGGGAAACCGGAGCUAAUACCGGAUGAUAUUUUGAACCGCAUGGUUCAAAAGUGAAAGACGGUCUUGCUGUCACUUAUAGAUGGAUCCGCGCUGCAUUAGCUAGUCGGUAAGGUAACGGCUUACCAAGGCAACGAUGCAUAGCCGACCUGAGAGGGUGAUCGGCCACACUGGAACUGAGACACGGUCCAGACUCCUACGGGAGGCAGCAGUAGGGAAUCUUCCGCAAUGGGCGAAAGCCUGACGGAGCAACGCCGCGUGAGUGAUGAAGGUCUUCGGAUCGUAAAACUCUGUUAUUAGGGAAGAACAUAUGUGUAAGUAACUGUGCACAUCUUGACGGUACCUAAUCAGAAAGCCACGGCUAACUACGU